UCUAGAAAAUCAAGCAUCGAUAUUUAAUUUUCGGCGCUUUGUGUACCCGUCAUACCUGAAGGCAAGCAAAUAGCCACUGCGUCCUGCACGAACUUGUGGCCUGCCUAUCGAGGCCACUCCUCUCUGAACAAGGUUGUGUCAGUGUCCUCAGACCAAUGUGAUGUACUGGCAACAGGACGGGCUGUGUGCUGCUGUCAAGUUAUCCAGCCUUCGGUCUGGCCAGCUUGUAUUAGUGUUGCGUUAAUGUAUAUCCUGAAAGCAUAAAAAUAAACGCUACUGUGAUGUGAUAGCCAU
rnacentral:lncRNA from 1 species